UAUAAUUUUCAGGUAGAAUUAGGUUGACCGAAAACCCGACCCGACCUAAGUCAAUCCCUAGUUUUAAGAUCUUCGGCACUGAUCACGGCACAAUUGAAUCCAUAGACCCCACUAUCGUAGUCUUCCCGCUCCUUUUCGCGUCUCACGGUCCCAAUGUUAGCAUUAUUAUUACAAGUAGAAGAGGAAUUUUAAGGGAAGAAAAGAGAAUAUUUUUAGUGAGUUUAGGAUUUAAGAGAAUACGAAAAAAAAUAAAAAUAAGUAAUUUUAGCGAUCUUCUACUUGUUUUUGCAUUGUUCGCCUUCAAUUUGCAAGCCACCCUAGGGGAAAUAACAUGUGAACACCUUGACCAAGACACCUGCGCCUACGCGGUGGCAUCAACAGGCAAGCGUUGUGUGCUGGAGAAGCACGUCAAGAGGAGCGGAAAAGAAGAAUACACUUGCCGCACAUCCGAAAUCGAAGCCAAUAAGAUCAGGAAUUGGAUCGAAACUGACCAGUGUGUUAAAGCCUAAGGCAUCGACGGGAACUCCUUCGGCAUCUCGCCCGAUUUGCUCCUCAAGUCUCGCUUCACUGAAAUGCUUUGUGCCCUUCAAUGCUACAACGGCUGCCCCAACAUUGUCGACCUUUUCUUCAACCUCGACCUUUUCUUCAACCUCACCGCCGGAGAAGUUAGAAAAUAUUAGAGUUAAUUGUACCAAACAUCCUGACCAAUUUUAUUUAACUCUUUGUGAUCUUGGCAGGUGUUUUUCUUCCGAAACUAUGCGAAGCACGGCAAGGGAAUGUGUGUAGAGGAAUGUCGGAGAUCAAAGGCUCGGGCUUGGUUGCACCGGGACCCGUUGGAGGCGCGAAGUCUAUAGGACUUCCCCCGGCAAUGGCGCCACUCUAAAAUCUUGAUUGAAUGGAAACUUUCACAAAGCUUUACAAGAAGUUUGAAACAAAAGGAAAGUUGCACUAGCUAGGGGUGAUUUCUCAAGCCGGGUUCAAGUGCAUGGACAGGUGUGAUCUGAUUCGUGCAUGUUGUGAGCCAUGAGCUUGUUGUGUUCAAUCCAAUAAGAUGCUACUUUCUAUAUAGUCUUGCUUAUUGAAAUAGGUGUGAACAAAAUUAUGAAGUUUAUA